rnacentral:tRNA from 1 species
GGGUGGAGCUCAGUGGUAGAGCACAUGUUUAGUAAGCACGAGGUCCUGGGUUCAGCCCCCAGUCCCUCCA